GACGAACGCUGGCGGCGUGCUUAACACAUGCAAGUCGAACGGAAAGGCCCUGCUUUUGUGGGGUGCUCGAGUGGCGAACGGGUGAGUAACACGUGAGUAACCUUCCCUUGACUUUGGGAUAACUUCAGGAAACUGGGGCUAAUACCGGAUCGGAGCUCCUGCUGCAUGGUGGGGGUUGGAAAGUUUCGGCGGUUGGGGAUGGACUCGCGGCUUAUCAGCUUGUUGGUGGGGUAGUGGCUUACCAAGGCUUUGACGGGUAGCCGGCCUGAGAGGGUGACCGGCCACAUUGGGACUGAGAGACGGCCCAGACUCCUACGGGAGGCAGCAGUGGGGAAUAUUGCACAAUGGGCGGAAGCCUGAUGCAGCAACGCCGCGUGCGGGAUGACGGCCUUCGGGUUGUAAACCGCUUUCGCCUGUGACGAAGCGUGAGUGACGGUAAUGGGUAAAGAAGCACCGGCUAACUACGUG
rnacentral:rRNA from 1 species